rnacentral:rRNA from 1 species
GGCAUAACUCCGGGAACCUGGAGAUAAUUCCGGAUAACGCAUAUAUGCUGGAAUGCUUUAUGCGUAAAAUGGAUUCGUCUGCCCAAGGAUGGGUCUGCGGCCUAUCAGGUAGUAGUGGGUGUAAUGUACCUACUAGCCUACGACGGGUACGGGUUGUGAGAGCAAGAGCCCGGAGAUGGAUUCUGAGACAUGAAUCCAGGCCCUACGGGGCGCAGCAGGCGCGAAAACUUUACAAUGCGGGAAACCGUGAUAAGGGGACACCGAGUGCCAGCAUCAUAUGCUGGCUGUCCAGGUGUGUAAAAUACACCUGUUAGCAAGGGCCGGGCAAGACCGGUGCCAGCCGCCGCGGUAACACCGGCGGCCCGAGUGGUGAUCGUGAUUAUUGGGUCUAAAGGGUCCGUAGCCGGUUUGGUCAGUCCUCCGGGAAAUCUGAUAGCUCAACUAUUAGGCUUUCGGAGGAUACUGCCAGACUUGGAACCGGGAGAGGUAAGAGGUACUACAGGGGUAGGAGUGAAAUCUUGUAAUCCCUGUGGGACCACCUGUGGCGAAGGCGUCUUACCAGAACGGGUUCGACGGUGAGGGACGAAAGCUGGGGGCACGAACCGGAUUAGAUACCCGGGUAGUCCCAGCCGUAAACGAUGCUCGCUAGGUGUCAGGCAUGGCGCGACCGUGUCUGGUGCCGCAGGGAAGCCGUGAAGCGAGCCACCUGGGAAGUACGGCCGCAAGGCUGAAACUUAA